GACAGAGGGUGCGAGCGUUAAUCGGAAUGACUGGGCGUAAAGGGCGUGUAGGUGGUUGUGUAGGUUGGAUGUGAAAGCCCUCGGCUUAACCGGGGAAGGGCAUUCAAUACCGCACAGCUUGAGUGAGAAAGAGGGUCGUGGAAUUUCCGGUGUAGCGGUGAAAUGCGUAGAUAUCGGAAGGAACACCAGCGGCGAAGGCGGCGACCUGGUUCUCAACUGACACUGAGGCGCGAAGGCGUGGGGAGCAAACAGG
rnacentral:rRNA from 1 species